rnacentral:lncRNA from 1 species
CGCUCGGCCACGGUUCCGUCAAAUUGCGAAGCUCCCUGCCGUGCGCUUGCCAACUCGAAUUUCGCUAGUCGACGUUCUCUAACCCGUGUGCCAGUCGGCGUCGUGGAGUUUUUGUUUGAUCAGCUCGUCGUCGCGUCGUUUGCCGUCGAGUCGUCAAACACGUCAUCCUCUGCUCAAACCCCACCUCACCAGCUCGCUCCCGACUUCAGCUGAAAGUCGUCGUCGUUCCGCGCGUCAGCAAGAAAUCUCAAGAAUCAGAUGAAGACGAAGCUAGCAGCGCGAUAUUCCCCAAGCGCUCGACAAAUUGCCUGGAUCGGAAAAUCGCUACCGAUCUCGCAGAUUCGUGUCAGCUGCUGAAGCGGUAAGCUGAUGAAUUAUUCAGAAUAGUUCAAUCGAUGAAUAAAUAAAUUGCUAGUGCGAUACUUAUUAGGUGCUCGAUAAAUUGCGUAAGUCACGAAACUCCCGUCGACUUCGCAGUUCUUGCGAUUAUCGAGCCAGGUUCAGUUAUAGCGAGUUAUCUCGCUAUUCCGAUCAAGUAGUUAAAUUAGUGUACCGAGUAGAAUAUGAGUAGGCAUGUGUGUUAAUAAAAUAUUUUAAUCACUUAUAAAGAUGUAGUAUAAUUUAUAAAGCAAGAGAUAAGUUUAGAAUUCAAUUAAUUAAGUAGCUGAUAAGUUGUGUUUAGGCUAAUCAUGUUUAAAGUGUAUGAUGUGUUGUUCGUGAUGUUUGCGUUAGGUUCGUUUAAUCUAGAAAACCGUGAUUAUUAAGCUUAGUCAUACGUCGAUAGCUAGUGUUUUCGUAUAAAAUAGUACGACGCUUCGUCACUAAGUAUUUAAUUCUUGUCGGCGUAGCACUAUUUAGGUUCGUAAUAUUUUCGUUUAUAUGCAUUCAUGUGCAUAAUGCAUUUCAUUCAGGUACGUUAAUUAAUCGCGUGAUGCGGAAGACGAGCCAAGUCGACCCCAAGCGUGGGCUUCUUCGCAAGGCGAUGCUAAUGGACAAACCUGAAGAUGGUCGUCAAGUG